UACGUAGGGUGCAAGCGUUGUCCGGAAUUAUUGGGCGUAAAGAGCUCGUAGGCGGUUUGUCGCGUCUGCUGUGAAAACUCGGGGCUUAACCCCGGGCCUGCAGUGGGUACGGGCAGACUAGAGUGCGGUAGGGGAGACUGGAAUUCCUGGUGUAGCGGUGAAAUGCGCAGAUAUCAGGAGGAACACCGGUGGCGAAGGCGGCCAGCUGGCGCUGACCUGACGCUGAGGCGCGAAAGCGUGGGGAGCAAACAGG
rnacentral:rRNA from 1 species